rnacentral:rRNA from 1 species
CCUACGGGGGGCAGCAGUGAGGAAUAUUGGUCAAUGGGCGCGAGCCUGAACCAACCAAGUCGCGUGAGGGAGGACGGCCCUACGGGUUGUAAACCUCUUUUGCCGGGGAGCAACGGGCGUUACGUGUGGCGCCACUGAGAGUACCCGGAGAAAAAGCAUCGGCUAACUUCGUGCCAGCAGCCGCGGUAAUACGGAGGAUGCGAGCGUUAUCCGGAUUUAUUGGGUGUAAAGGUUGCGUAGGCGGAGCGUUGAGUCAGCGGUAAAAUUGCGGGGCUAACCCCCUUCCCGCCAUUGAAACUGGCGUGCUUGAGUGGAAGAGAGGUAUGCGGAAUGCGUGGUGUAGCGGUGAAAUGCAUAGAUAUCACGCAGAACCCCGAUUGCGAAGGCAGCAUGCCGGCUUCCGACUGACGCUGAAGCACGAAAGCGUGGGGAUCGAACAGGAUUAGAUACCCGGGUAGUC